rnacentral:rRNA from 1 species
CCUACGGGAGACAGCAGUGGGGAAUAUUGCACAAUGGGGGAAACCCUGAUGCAGCGACGCCGCGUGAGUGAAGAAGUAUUUCGGUAUGUAAAGCUCUAUCAGCAGGGAAGAAGAAAGACGGUACCUGACUAAGAAGCCCCGGCUAACUACGUGCCAGCCGCCGCGGUAAUACGUAGGGGGCAAGCGUUAACCGGAUUUACUGGGUGUAAAGGGAGCGUAGACGGCUGCGCAAGUCUGAAGUGAAAGCCCAGGGCGCAACCCUGGGACUGCUUUGGAAACUGUGGAGCUAGAGGGCUGGAGAGGUAAGUGGAAUUCCUAGUGUAGCGGGGAAAUGCGUAGAUAUUAGGAGGAACACCAGUGGCGAAGGCAGCUUACUGGACAGUAACUGACGUUGAGGCUCGAAAGCGUGGGGAGCAAACAGGAUUAGAUACCCGGGUAGUC